UACUCAUGAUUCUUGCAAUUAGGAUUUUUUUUUCUUUCUCUUCGCUAGCUCUAUCAGUUUUUCUGAACCUGGAAACUGAAUGCUAUAGCGUAUUGUUUUGAACUGAUUUGUAAAUUUACAGUCAAACUUGUUUGAUAAAUAAACUUAAUAUUAGCUGUCACGUUUUUUUACCAAGGGAAUUUUUAACUCACAUGUGGAGUGCGUGCUUCAAACAUGAUUUCUUGGGAAUUUUUUUUAUUUUGAGUUUUGUUUUAGUGAGACAUCUAUGAUGCAAAAAAAAUUUCCUUCUUGUUUAUGUCUAACUAGGUAAGAAGCAACUUGACAUUUUUCAAACUCAGACAUGUCUAACAAGCCUGAACAUCCUUGAUAGAUU